rnacentral:rRNA from 1 species
CCUACGGGAGGCUGCAGUGAGGAAUAUUGGUCAAUGGACGAGAGUCUGAACCAGCCAAGUAGCGUGAAGGAUGACUGCCCUAUGGGUUGUAAACUUCUUUUAUAAAGGAAUAAAACGAGGCACGUGUGCCUUUUUGCAUGUACUUUAUGAAUAAGGAUCGGCUAACUCGGUGCCAGCACCCGCGGUAAUACGGAGGAUCCGAGGUUUAUCCGGAUUUUUUGGGUUUAAAGGGAGCGUAGAUGGGUUGUUAAGUCAGUUGUGAAAGUUUGCGGCUCAACCGUAAAAUUGCAAUUGAUACUGGCAGUCUUGAGUACAGUUGAGGUAGGCGGAAUUCGUGGUGUAGCGGUGAAAUGCUUAGAUAUCACGAAGAACCCCGAUUGCGAAGGCAGCUUACUAAACUGUGACUGACAUUGAUGCUCGAAAGUGUGGGUAUCAAACAGGAUUAGAUACCCGAGUAGUC